CAGGUUCUGUUCCUCCUAUGCCUCAUCCGUCAGGCGUCCCCCAAGCACCCCGAGUGGCGUCCAUGAGUCACCGCGAGGAGUGUCUGGAGGUGACGAAAUGCACGACACUGAGGUUGAGCUUCACAAUGCACCACGAAUCUACAGACCAAUGAGUAAUUAUUAUUUUGAAGUUUAGCAGCGUAGUAUUGUAACCAGAAAAUAUGACAACGUAUCCUCAAAAAGAAUAAUAAUAAUAAUAGAAAUAAAA